rnacentral:tRNA from 1 species
UGAAGGUUAGCAUAAGUCGAAUGCAUCUUAUUUACGCUAAGGGUAUAAAAAUUUUUUAUCUUCAU